GACGAACGCUGGCGGCGUGCUUAACACAUGCAAGUCGAACGGUGAAGCUCCAGCUUGCUGGAGUGGAUCAGUGGCGAACGGGUGAGUAACACGUGAGCAACCUGCCCCUGACUCUGGAAUAAGCGCUGGAAACGGCGUCUAAUACUGGAUACGAGAAGGGUCCGCAUGGGCACUUUCUGGAAAGUUUUUCGGUUGGGGAUGGGCUCGCGGCCUAUCAGCUUGUUGGUGAGGUAAUGGCUCACCAAGGCGACGACGGGUAGCCGGCCUGAGAGGGCGAACGGCCACACUGGGACUGAGACACGGACCAGACUCCUACGGGAGGCAGCAGUGGGGAAUAUUGCACAAUGGGCGAAAGCCUGAUGCAGCGACGCCGCGUGAGGGAUGACGGCCUUCGGGUUGUAAACCUCUUUCAGCAGGGAAGAAGCGAAAGUGACGGUACCUGCAGAAGAAGCACCGGCUAACUACGUG
rnacentral:rRNA from 1 species